rfam:Phenylobacterium sp. SCN 70-31 ABS78_C0011, whole genome shotgun sequence.
CGGAGAUCGGCGGCGGACGAACGCCCCGCCAACCUGGUCAGGGCCGGAAGGCAGCAGCCACAACGGGUCACGGCUCGGGUCGUUGUCCGGUCUCCACCU